UGCUUAGAUGGCCUAUAAUAUUAGACCCAUAAACA
rnacentral:tRNA from 1 species